UACGUAGGGGGCUAGCGUUGUCCGGAAUCAUUGGGCGUAAAGCGCGCGUAGGCGGCCCGGUAAGUCCGCUGUGAAAGUCAAAGGCUCAACCUUUGAAUGUCAGCGGAUACUGCCGGGCUAGAGUCCGGAAGAGGCGAGUGGAAUUCCUGGUGUAGCGGUGGAAUGCGCAGAUAUCAGGAGGAACACCGAUGGCGAAGGCAGGUCUCUGGGCCACUACUGACGCUGAGAAGCGAAAGCAUGGGGAGCGAACAGG
rnacentral:rRNA from 1 species